rnacentral:rRNA from 1 species
CCCCUAGAUGUUCUGGGCCGCACGCGCGCUACACUGAUGAAUUCAACGAGCUCCUAACCUAGGCCGAAGGGUCCGGGUAAUCUUUGAAAUUUCAUCGUGAUGGGGAUAGAUUAUUGCAAUUAUUAAUCUUCAACGAGGAAUUCCUAGUAAGCGCGAGUCAUCAGCUCGCGUUGAUUACGUCCCUGCCCUUUGUACACACCGCCCGUCGCUCCUACCGAUUGAAUGGUCCGGUGAAAUGUUCGGAUCGCGGCAAAUCGGACGGGUAACCGUCAGGUUCGCUGCGAGAAGUUCAUUAAACCUUAUCAUUUAGAGGAAGGAGAAGUCGUAACA